rnacentral:rRNA from 1 species
UACGUAGGGUGCAAGCGUUGUCCGGAAUUAUUGGGCGUAAAGAGCUCGUAGGCGGUCUGUCGCGUCGGCUGUGAAAACCCGGGGCUCAACCCCGGGCCUGCAGCCGAUACGGGCAGACUAGAGUUCGGCAGGGGAGACUGGAAUUCCUGGUGUAGCGGUGAAAUGCGCAGAUAUCAGGAGGAGCACCGGUGGCGAAGGCGGGUCUCUGGGCCGAUACUGACGCUGAGGAGCGAAAGCGUGGGGAGCGAACAGG